UCCUCAGACCUUACUUCCCGCCUCCUUUGUCACUGUGGAGCAACAGGAAGGAAUGUUUAUUAACAAGGCUGGCUGGGUCACACCCAAGGCAGUAUCAGCGUUUUACCUCUACUAAGUCUGGGAAGAGGUCCAAGGAUCAAGCU
rnacentral:lncRNA from 1 species